CUGCCCGAAAUGCUUGAGCACUGGCUAGCUGGGUUGUGGCUGUUGGGCCUUCGUGCCAUGUCACAAAUGCCCUUUACAGGCGGAUUCGUUCAUGGGCGCAGCAUACUUGUCAUUGUUGCGCUCCUCUGAUGUGUCCGUGCUGGGCGAACCUCUCGAAGCAUCACACGGUAAUUGCCCACCACAGCUCGUUGCUUGGUCACCCGCUGGGUCUAGACGUGCAGGAUGCUCAUCCAGUUUCCGGACUGUCAAUGUUGACGCGUGUGUAUGGGCGAUGCUACCGUACGGAGGGCUUUUCCGUGCGCGUACACGCUCGCGUCACGUCCGUGAUAUCCUGGCUCUGACUGCCGACUCGUAGACGUGGUGUGAUCCAUUCGGCGACGAAGCUGCAAUUGGCCAGACACAUGUA
rnacentral:rRNA from 1 species